AGAUGAUUAAUACAAAGAAAUAUCUCUGAUUUCGGCUCAGAAAAUUGUGGUUCAAGUCCACAAUCAUCUU
rnacentral:tRNA from 1 species